rnacentral:rRNA from 1 species
AUUGAACGCUGGCGGCAUGCCUUACACAUGCAAGUCGAACGGCAGCACGGGGCAACCUGGUGGCGAGUGGCGAACGGGUGAGUAAUGCAUCGGAACGUACCUUUCAGUGGGGGAUAACGUAGCGAAAGUUACGCUAAUACCGCAUAUUCUGUGAGCAGGAAAGCAGGGGAUCGCAAGACCUUGCGCUGAUUGAGCGGCCGAUGUCAGAUUAGCUAGUUGGUGAGGUAAAGGCUCACCAAGGCGACGAUCUGUAGCGGGUCUGAGAGGAUGAUCCUCCAAACUGGAACUGAGACACGGUCCAGACUCCUACGGGAGGCAGCAGUGGGGAAUUUUGGACAAUGGGGGCAACCCUGAUCCAGCCAUGCCGCGUGAGUGAAGAAGGCCUUCGGGUUGUAAAGCUCUUUCGGCCGGGAAGAAAUCGCACGGGCUAAUACCCUGUGUGGAUGACGGUACCGGAAUAAGAAGCACCGGCUAACUACGUGCCAGCCGCCGCCGUAAGAC